rnacentral:lncRNA from 1 species
GUUGACCAAACUUAGAGAACGAAAAAAGACUGGAUGUAUUAAUACAACUCCAAGCAAAGUUUUUGAAGAUCUCUGACGCUAAGCGAGUAAUGCAAGUGCUCCAAGAUCACGCUGCUAAGACAGUCAUACUGAAUCCACAUCAUCCAUCUUUCAUGACUCCCCAAGGUUUGCAUCAGUGCAAUUAUGAUAAAAUCUGGGAGAAUAUUUAUAGCAACAUCAACCUCUACCAGGUAAAACAUUAAGAAAUAACCAAUAUGCCUUUCUGUUCAACCUGGCAUCUGUGUACAGCUCUUAGAAAUGUACUUCAGAAAAAAAAGCAAGAAAUGUACUUUGAUAGAAAGAAAUAUGAAAUGGGAAGAAAAGGUCCAAAGGGGACGAGGUCUGGGAGGGGUGGGGGAAAGGAAAUAAGGGAAAGGAAAAAAUAUGAGAAAAGGAAAAAAAUGGAAACAAAGUCUUUGUAAAUAGGGAGGGGUGGAGGUGUUGAAGGGAGGGCAGGAGAAUGGGGAAAAAAAUAAGAACCAAAAUAUAUCAUGUAAAGGUACAAAUUCCCAAUGAUGAAUGUCAUCAUAUUGUAUACCUAAAAUGUACCAAUAAAAUUAAUGAAUAAUUUAAAAAUGGUAUAUCUAUACUGCAGAAUACCACUCAGUAAUAAAAAGGAAUGACUUUGAUGCAAAGAAAAAAAAAAGCAUGAUGAUGAACCAGGGGUAUAUUAGGUGAUAACUCCAAAUCCAGCUCAGGUGCGUGAAGAUUCAUGUGGAAAUAUAGUGGAGAGAAAUUGUGCUUUAUUUGGGGAGGUGGUAGUACAAGUGAAUACCUAUAAGUUCUGGACAAAGAAAUUUGUGCUUUAUCCUGCAAGGGAGGUGACAUAUGCAUAUACAUUUUUUUAAAAAGAAAACUAGGAUGAUGAAUUAAAAGAGGGAAUGACUGAAGCCAAUUAGGCAGCUGCUGCACAGGGUAGGCAUGGAGCUUGGCAGUUAAAGGAAGUUUUUACACAAAGCUGGGAGAUAUUUAUCUUUACAAUGAUAACGUGCUUUUGAGGCUGUACUAUGCUAUUCUUUGUUUGUUGCUGUAAGGGG